rnacentral:rRNA from 1 species
UCUACGGGAGGCAGCAGUGAGGAAUAUUGGUCAAUGGGCGCGAGCCUGAACCAGCCAAGUAGCGUGAAGGAUGACUGCCCUACGGGUUGUAAACUUCUUUUAUCAAGGAAUAAAGUGAGGCACGUGUGCCUUUUUGUCUGUACUUUAUGAAUAAGGAUCGGCUAACUCCGUGCCAGCAGACGCGGUAAUACGGAGGAUCCGAGCGUUCUCCGGAUUUAUUGGGUUUAAAGGGAGCGUAGAUGGGUUGUUAAGUCAGUUGUGCAAGUUUGCGGCUCAACCGUAAAAUUGCAAUUGAUACUGGCAGUCUUGAGUACAGUAGAGGUAGGCGGAAUUCGUGGUGUAGCGGUGAAAUGCCUAGAUAUCACGAAGAACUCCGAUUGCGAAGGCAGCUUACUAAACUGCCACUGACAUUGAUGCUCGAAAGUGUGGGUAUCAAACAGGAUUAGAUACCCCUGUAGUC